rnacentral:rRNA from 1 species
AUGAAGUUGACGGCGUCGAGAUCUGAUGACCACGGGGAAGAUCCCCGGCCUACGUGCCAUAAAGACUCGAUCUCGUCGCUUGCGGUGACCCGCUUCAACGGCUCAAAAAGCAUCUUUGUAUGCGAUGGUGCUCUCUUAGAUCUUGGUAUGGCGGCUAUUCUCAUCUUUUUCCGGCGUUGCCAUGGUGGCGGCGGAGGAGUUUGUGGACUAUGUUUCGGCGAGGCAUGAGUUUCUACAAGGGUGAAAUAGUAGUUCCAUAUCUUGUGGAAUUCUUUGUGCAAAGUUGCUUGA